UACGGAGGAUGCAAGUGUUAUCCGGAAUCACUGGGCGUAAAGCGUCUGUAGGUGGUUUAAAAAGUCUACUGUUAAAAAUUGAAGCUUAACUUCAAAGAUGCCGUAGAAACUUUUAAACUCGAGGAUGGUAGGGGUAGAGGGAAUUUCCAGUGGAGCGGUGAAAUGCGUAGAUCUUGGAAAGACCACCAAUGGCGGAGGCACUCUACUGGGCCAUUACUGACACUAAGAGACGAAAGCUAGGGGAGCAAAUGGG
rnacentral:rRNA from 1 species